rnacentral:tRNA from 1 species
UCUCUGGCAGUCCAGUGGUGAGGACUCUGUGCUUUCACUACAGGGGGCCUGGGUUCAAUCCCUGGUCAGGGAA